GAUGAACGCUGGCGGCGUGCUUAACACAUGCAAGUCGAACGGUGAAGCAGAGCUUGCUCUGUGGAUCAGUGGCGAACGGGUGAGUAACACGUGAGCAACCUGCCCCUGACUCUGGGAUAAGCGCUGGAAACGGCGUCUAAUACUGGAUAUGAGCUGCGACCGCAUGGUCAGCAGUUGGAAAGAUUUUUCGGUCUGGGAUGGGCUCACGGCCUAUCAGCGUGUUGGUGAGGUAAUGGCUCACCAAGGCGUCGACGGGUAGCCGGCCUGAGAGGGUGACCGGCCACACUGGGACUGAGACACGGCCCAGACUCCUACGGGAGGCAGCAGUGGGGAAUAUUGCACAAUGGGCGAAAGCCUGAUGCAGCAACGCCGCGUGAGGGAUGACGGCCUUCGGGUUGUAAACCUCUUUUAGCAGGGAAGAAGCGAAAGUGACGGUACCUGCAGAAAAAGCGCCGGCUAACUACGUG
rnacentral:rRNA from 1 species